GAGAGAGAAAACGAGACAGACACGGAGAGGGAGGGAGGGAAAGUGAGAGAGACCGUAUGAGACAGAGAGGAAUACAUGCAAGAAGAAAAUCAAGGAAAACUGAGGAUUUGUUGAUGGGAAACGGACUUCAAUAAAACACUGAAAAGGCUGCAACAAGGGACAAGGGCUGCUGCCUCCUCAUUCCGAACCAGACCUGGAUUCACACAUACGGACACACAUGCACGGCCCAGCUGUGUAGCUAGUUUAUUAGAUAAUGAGCAGGUAGGAGAGACAGUGCCGUCUACUUGGCCAUCUGUGAGGGCACCUCCCUGUCCAGGUUAAAGGAGCUUUAGGAUUAAACAGUCCCACCACGCUAUGUGGAUUAAUCACUACUCAGGACUAACCUAAUUAAUCCAAGAGGGAUAUGUCACCAGUGUAUGCCAACAGUCGCCACAGUCUCCUCUAACCUCAUGGCAGCCUAUUCAUUUGGUAGUGCACUACUUUUGGCCGGAGCACACCCUAUUCACUUUAUAGCACACUACUUUUACCUAGAGCGCACCCUAUUCCCCAUACUGUCUCCUACUUAUGUAGUGUACUACAAAGGCUCUGGACAAAAGUGGUGCACUAUAUAGGGAAUAAGGUGCCAUUUCAGAUAUGGCCUGUUUCCUAUGUGAUGUGGGGGAAGAGGGGAAGACAGACGUACCAUCCUCUUACAGCAUCUGAAGCCACACAGUGUCUCGUUUAACAUAUUCCGGUCAAGUCGGGUCUAUCAACAGCGAGAGGAGCCAUGGAAAUCCCCCUGCUUAGAGUCAAGAGAAAGAUUGGUUGAUCCUGUUCUCUUCUUCUCUUUGUUCUCUUUGUCUCUUUCUUUAUUUUCUCUUUCUUUCUGUCUACUGA